rnacentral:rRNA from 1 species
AUGAACGCUAGCGGCAGGCUUAAUACAUGCAAGUUGAGGGGCAGCAUGAUAUACGCGAGUAUAUUGAUGGCGACCGGGCGGACGGGUGAGUAAUAGGUAGGAGACCUACCUCAUACAGGGGGAUAGCAUAGAGAAAUCUGUGGUAAUACCCCAUGAGGUUAUAUGAAUAGAGGCAUAUAAUCAAAGCAUAAGCGAUUAUGCGGUAUGAGAGGGGCCUACUGACCAUUAGCUAGUUGGUGAGGUAAGGGCUCACCAAGGCGAAGAUGGUUAGGGGUUUUGAGAGAGAGACCCCCCCACAUUGGAACUGAGAGACGGUCCAGACUCCUACGGGAGGCAGCAGUAGGGAAUAUUGGGCAAUGGGCGAAAGCCUGACCCCAGCCAUGCCGCGUGAAGGAAGACGGCCUUAUGGGUUGUAAACUUCUUUACUACGCGAAUAGAGGUUAGUACGAGAUACUAAUAGGAAGGUAGUGUAGUAAAAAGCACCGGCUAACUCCGUG